rnacentral:rRNA from 1 species
UACGGGAGGCAGCAGUGGGGAAUAUUGCACAAUGGGCGCAAGCCUGAUGCAGCCAUGCCGCGUGUAUGAAGAAGGCCUUAGGGUUGUAAAGUACUUUCAUCGGGGAGGAAAAAACAAAACUAAUAAUUUUAUUUCUUGACGUUACCCGAAAAAGAAGCACCGGCUAACUCCGUGCCAGCAGCCGCGGUAAUACGGAGGGUGCUAGCGUUAAUCAGAAUUACUGGGCGUAAAGAGCACGUAGGUGGUUUUUUAAGUCAGAUGUGAAAUCCCUGGGCUUAACCUAGGAACUGCAUUUUGAAGCUGAAAUACUAGAGUAUCGUAGAGGGAGGUAGAAUUCUAGGUGUAGCGGUGAAAUGCGUAGAUAUCUGGAGGAAUACCUGUGGCGAAAGCGGCCUCCUAAACGAAUACUGACACUGAGGUGCGAAAGCGUGGGGAGCAAACAGGGAUUAGAUACC